rnacentral:misc_RNA from 1 species
AAAAUUUCUCCUUUCUCUGUAUAAUAUGCUUAUCUGCCUUGUUCCUAAACUAGACGUACAUAUAUAUAACUAUAGACUUACAUGUUUUUCACAUUACUUCGCGCUGGAGCGUUAGCCUGACCUGCUCGUGCCUUCUCGAGCCUUGCUCGUCGAGCAGCUUCCUGAAUGUGACGAUCGCGAUCUUUAAGCAUUUGAUCCACUUUAUUUGAUGCAACUAGAAGUGAACCAGAAUAAUGGAUUUUGUUUCCCUUGUCACUAUGGUCAUGCAGAUUUGCCUCCUUCGUACAAGUCCUUCCACUUUCAAAUUGAUGAGAACUGGCAAAGUUCUGCUUGAAAUACUUCUGAUCCUGAUCCUGCUUCGUUGAAUGUUCGUCUAGAAGCCGUGCUGUCCUUUCUACUUGAUGGGCUGAUUGUAGCUGAACACAUCUAUCUCGGUUGUCUCCGGACACAACGGACCUGGAUGCUACUAAGUCUGACAAGUCUGCUCUGUUGGGACCAAUGGAGAUAUCAUCAUAUUUCUUCCCAAAUACCCCUAGAGCCAGAGGGACUGAAUGAGAAAAUGUCUCUGAAAGAUCAUCGAGGUGAUCUUUGGCUGAAAAUCUAUCGGAAAGAUUCUCCAUUUGAUCUUUCCCAGUUUCUUUCACUGCUUGUGAUGGUUUAGGAGGAUCAUUUGGAAAACGAGCAACAGCUUCCUUCGAGGGAUUGAAACGGUCACUUUGGCUCUUAGGAUUGGAACUGCUCUGCCUCCUCUGCAUUGAGCUAGCCAGCUUAGCAUUAGCAUCACGUGCUGGUGCUGGAACUGCUUGACGUUCUUUUGAUCCAUUUGUAGUCCCUCGUCUUCUAGCUUCCUCUUCCCGCAGUUUUGCAUCAAUUUCCUUGCUGGGAGGGUAUGUUGGCAAACUUGAAGGAUCACAAGGCAAUGGCUUUGUGGUGAAGAACUCA